UGUAGGCGUAGCGAAAGCGAGUCUUAAUAGGGCGACUGAGUUCGAGGGAUGAGACCCGAAGCCGGGUGAUCUAGCCAUGUGCAGGUUGAAGGUGCGGUAACACGCACUGGAGGACCGAACCCACGUAUGUUGAAAAAUGCGGGGAUGACGUGUGGCUAGGGGUGAAAGGCCAAUCAAACCCGGAAAUAGCUGGUUCUCCGCGAAAUCUAUUUAGGUAGAGCGUCUCGUGAAUACCCAUGGGGGUAGAGCACUGGAUGGGCUAGGGGGUCCCAACGACUUACCAAACCUAACCAAACUCCGAAUACCAGUAAGUAGAGCGCAGCAGACAGACUACGGGUGCUAAGGUCCGUGGUCGAAAGGGAAACAGCCCAGACCUCCAGCUAAGGUCCCAAAAUCAUAGUUAAGUGGGAAAGGAUGUGGGAAGGCCAAGACAACCAGGACGUUGGCUUAGAAGCAGCCAUCGUUUAAAGAAAGCGUAACAGCUCACUGGUCAAGCGCUCUUGCGCCGAAAAUGUACCGGGGCUAAAGCCAUACACCGAAGCUGCGGAUGCACAUUUAUGUGCGUGGUAGCGGAGCGUUCUGUAAGCCUGUGAAGGUGGGUUGUGAAGCCUGCUGGAGGUAUCAGAAGUGCGAAUGCUGACAUGAGUAGCGUUAAAGGGGGUGAAAAGCCCCCUCGCCGAAAGCGCAAGGUUUCCUACGCAACGUUCAUCGGCGUAGGGUGAGUCGGCCCCUAAGGCGAGGCAGAGAUGCGUAGCUGAUGGGAAACAGGUCAAUAUUCCUGUACCGAUCAAUAGUGCGAUGUGGGGACGGAGAAGGUUAGCUCAGCCGGGUGUUGGAUGUCCCGGUUCAAGCCUGUAGUCGUGCCUGGUAGGCAAAUCCGCCGGGCUUAGAUGAGGGGUGAUAACGAGGAGGCUUGCCUCCGAAGUGAGUGAUACCCUGCUUCCAGGAAAAGCCACUAAGCUUCAGCUAUUGACGACCGUACCGCAAACCGACACUGGUGCGCGAGAUGAGUAUUCUAAGGCGCUUGAGAGAACUCUGGAGAAGGAACUCGGCAAAUUGACACCGUAACUUCGGAAGAAGGUGUGCCUUUAGUAGGUGUAGUUGUACAAACGAAGCCCAAUGAGGCCGCAGAGAAUCGGUGGCUGCAACUGUUUAUUAAAAACACAGCACUCUGCAAAGACGAAAGUCGACGUAUAGGGUGUGACUCCUGCCCGGUGCUGGAAGAUUAAAUGAUGGGGUGCAAGCUCUUGACUGAAGUCCCAGUAAACGGCGGCCGUAACUAUAACGGUCCUAAGGUAGCGAAAUUCCUUGUCGGGUAAGUUCCGACCU
rnacentral:rRNA from 1 species